rnacentral:lncRNA from 10 species
CCUAUCACUCCCUCCUUUAUCCCCAGGCAACUACGAUCCUAUUUUCUCUUUUAUGAGUUGAACUAUUCUAGAUACCUCAAAUAAGUGGUUGUCCUUUUGUGACUGUCUUGUUUCACUUAGCAUAAUGUCUUCAAGGUUCAUCCAUGUCGUAGCAUGUCAGAAGUUAUUUCAUUUUAAAGGCUGAAUAAUAUUACACUGUAUAUGUGCCACAUUGUGUUUAUCCAUUCAUCUAUUGAUGGACAUUUGGGUUGCUUCACCUUCUGGCUAUUGUGAAUAAUGCUGCUGUGAAUAUAGGUGUACCCUGCUUUUAACGUUUUUGAAUACCAAGAAGAAGAAUCACUGGAUCAUAAGGUAAUUCUAUUUUUAAUUGUUUGAGGAACUGGAAUAUUGUUUUCCAUGGUGGCAGCAUUAUUUUACAUCAUCACAACAGUUCACAAGGGUUUCAAUUUCUCCACAUCAUCACAAACACUUGUUAUUUUCCUUUUUUUUUUUUUUAAAUAGUAGCCAUCCUAUCAGACGGGCAGUGAUAUAUUGAGGUUUUGAUUUACAUUUCCCUAAUGAGUAGGCAUGUUGAAUAUCUUUUCAUAUGCUUGCUGGUCAUUUAUAUAUCUUCUUUGGAUAAAUGUCUAUUCAAAUCCUUUGCCAAUUGUUUAACUGGGUUAUUUGUUUUCUUGCAGUUGAGUUGUAGGAGAUCUUUAUGUAUUCCAGAUUGUAAUCUCUUAUCAGAUAAAUGAUUGGCAAAUAUUUUCUCCCAUUUCAUAGGUGCAUUUCACUUGUUGAUAGUAUCCUUUGACAUACAGAAGUUUGUAAUUUUGAUGUAGUCUAAUCCAUCUAUUUUUACUUUUGCUGCUUAUGCUUUUGCUGUCAUACCCAAGAAAUCAUUGCCAAAUCCAUUAUCAUGAAACUUUCUUCUUAUGUUUUUUUCUAAGAAUUUUAUAGUUUAGCCCUCAUUGAUCCAUUCCGAGCUAAUUUUUGUAUACAGUAUAGGGUAAGGGCCCAACUUCAUAUUACACUAUUUUUUUUAAAAAGUAUGCAUAUAUGUUUGUGUGUAUGUAUGUAUUUAUAUUUUUAAAUGAACUGCACUGAGUCUAUCUGAGCUCGGGCAUUACUGUUGAGUUAUAGAAGAGCUAAGUUGUUUGGGGGUCUCAAAUCUAUGUGAUAAAUAUCUCCCUUAAAAACUCACAGACUUCAGGUGAACACAGGUAGUAAAAAAUACCCUUUCCAAAACAAACACAGUAUGAAAGCUAAGAUAAUAAAAUGUAGAAUUUGAAGAGAAAACAUGUCUCCUGAAAUCCAAAGGCCAGUUGUAUGAAAAUGACUGUGGCAGAAAC